rnacentral:lncRNA from 1 species
CUUCUCAUUAGCUAGGGGUUUAAAAUUUAAAAUAUAGUUCAUACUAAUGAUCCCUUUUCAAAUUUUCAGGAAAGCAUUCUCCUAGGAGGUUGUACCUGAGUCCAUCACUGAAGGAAGAUAAGGAUACUAAGAGACUAAGUGCUUUGAAGACUUAUGAGAACUUCUUGGAGAGACGUAUGACCCUCUAAAGAAAAGGCUCCUUACCUCUGACCUACAUUUUCUACUUCUAUGGUUCACUGGAACUAUUUGAUGGGUGUUUAAGAUGGAAACUAAUGGUGAAAGAAAAAGAUAGCAGUUGAAGCUCAAAUCUUUCCUGAACAUUUCUCUUUUGAAG